AUUGUGGCAUCUGCAGGAAAUGCUGCUCUGUGAUGCCAGGCAAAUGAAAUGGCCACGACUGGCAGGCUGUGCUGAUCAUCCAUGCUCUGACCACUGUCAGAUAAGCUCACAGGCAUCAGGUUUUGUUGAUUCCCACUGUUCACAACUGUUACUUUUUGUUUGGUGAUCCUGAACAUGCCUCAUGUAAACCUCAUCCUUUCCUUGCUAUUUCCUCAAGAGAGACAACUGCUUUCCCUGUAGCCUCUUGUUUUCAAUGCAGUUGAAAAAUUGUUCUAACACAUUGAGCCACGAGAUCAAAUUUCAUCCCAGUCUGGGGGCCUGCAUGGGCUCUCAUGAGAUGCCUCAUUGAUCCAAAGCACUCACAGUGACCUACUGGACUCUGUGCAAUAUCGGUGUCAAGGAAAUGUUCCAUCUGUGCCGUCCUGCAAACGCCCUGUCCCCACCAAGGUCAACAUCUGCAGCUCAGCCCACAAAGCUGCUGCUUGUGGGUCAAGUUCCAUGAUGCCAUCUCUGGAUUUGCACGUGAAGUGGGUGCAAAUAGACAUGUCUGGGUCUGUGCAAAGAGCACAAAGCACAUGUUGGUCUCCAGCAGCCAAAGGACAGAGGGAAGUGGGGGCUGACCUGCAUUUCUACAGCUGAAUGAUUCAAAUUUUGCUCUUAACCCUUCACAGCACAAUGGACUUAGGGCCUGAGUUCGGCCUCAGCAACUUGGUAAAGAAUCUACCUUCAGGUUGGGUUGGAAAUAUGUAAAAAUAAUGACUAAUGUUCAGCAAGAAUCUAGCAUGGAUGGGUGGGGCCCACUUUAUGAGCCAUGGACCUGCUGACUGCUGACAGAUGACCCAUUUCCCAGUGCCAGACACAAACAAUUCCCUCAGGCUGCUCGGGGACGCCAUGCACAGCGUGGGCUCUGCUUCCCGUGCUGAGCAAGGCCUCUGGCCCUCUCCUACACACAGAUACCCAGCGUCAGAUGCCCACGGGCACCCCGUGUGCUCCUCCUCUGCAGCCCCCAGGGGGAAGGGGCACAAGCUCCAUCUGCCCAGCACAGAUUCUCUUGCAAUGGUCACAAGGAAGUGUUCACUUGGAAAGAAGCAAUUUGAGUGACACUGAUGAUUUAAAGAGAGAGGAGCCGAGAAAUGAUCCUAAAGAUGGGAAAGUUGUUUACUGUGCAAGAGAAGACUGAUCCUUGGCUUCUUCAAUGCUCACAUUUUUAUUUCCCUCAUGUAUGGUAGAUGUGGGCUGUUGUUAUUCCACUUUAAAUAAAUUUUGCAGACCCUUUCCCUGGUGUAAAAGCCACAUGGCAGGGCAGGUGAGAAGUGGCCCCAGUGAUGCUGUCCUGUGGUGACAGAGAGGAGAUGAUCAGCACAGGGCUGGGAUCACCCUGGUCCAUCACUCACCAGCCACACUGCUUUAGGGGACAGGACAGCAUAGGGAGUGUCCAACCUCGAUUUUCAAUCUUUACAAGGCCAGAGGCCCUGAGUGGAGCCAGAUCUCCAGAGGGCUGAGGGCCAGGAGCCUCUGCCUUUGAGUGACCUCUGCAUUUGCCCAGGGCACCAACCCUUUUUCCUUCAGAUGAAAUUAAGUUCUUAAUCUCACCAUCCAAGUACAUGUAGAAGGCAGAGCACAAGACCAGGACCUCUCAUGGUACAACUCACAGGUUCAUGGUGUCACCAGCCUAGAGAUGAAGAGAGGAGGGAAGAGCCAGGCCAGCACUCCUCAGCAGCUUGGGGGAGUUUGGAUACAAAAGGAUCACUUCUUGAUCUCAGCUGAAGAGAAUGAAGAUGCAUGCCAGUCCCUGAAGGGACACCAAGUCCCCUGGUGAACGUUUGGCAGCAGUGAGAGGAUUCUUCAGGAUCUCAGUGUGUGAAGUCAAGAAUCCUCUUCCCCUUCCCUUAUAAAAACUCUCACUUUGAGCAUUUCUUGCUCCUGUGCACAAAAUAUCUGUGAUAAGGGUGCAGAGAGAUGCUGUGGUCACAUCUUCCUUUGGCUGACAGUGUUACCUGGUGCCAGUGUCUGGAAGUCAGCAAACAGGACUGAUUCAAAUGGUGUGAGAGUGGAACAGACAGACAGACAGACAUCCUGUUUGGCAGUGCCAUCAUCUGAACUGAUGUCAAUUACUGGGAGCACGUUUUUAGGAUUAGCACAGCCCUGGGGAGGGAAGGGUGUGGGCUGCUGCUACAUUCUCCAGUUGGAGCAAUCUCAGAGCUCUUCCAGCUGCAGUGAGGAAUGACUACAGCAAGAUGUGGAGGAGAUUGCUGUUGAUGCUCCUCCCCAAAGCCACCGAGGUUCAAUAAACAGCUUCUGCAAAGCCUUCAGAAACUUUU